rnacentral:rRNA from 1 species
CCGCACCUCAAGUGGUCAGGAUGAUUAUUGGGCCUAAAGCGUCCGUAGCCGGCUCUGUAAGUUUUCGGUUAAAUCUGUACGCUCAACGUACAGGCUGCCGGGAAUACUGCAGAGCUAGGGAGUGGGAGAGGUAGACGGUACUCGGUAGGAAGGGGUAAAAUCCUUUGAUCUAUUGAUGACCACCUGUGGCGAAGGCGGUCUACCAGAACACGUCCGACGGUGAGGGAUGAAAGCUGGGGGAGCAAACCGGAUUAGAUACCCGUGUAGUCC